rnacentral:rRNA from 1 species
UUUUGGACAAUGGGCGCAAGCCUGAUCCAGCCAUUCCGCGUGAGUGAAGAAGGCCUUCGGGUUGUAAAGCUCUUUCGCAAGGGAAGAAACGAUUUAGGUAAAUAAUCUAAGUUAAUGACGGUACCUUGAUAAGAAGCACCGGCUAACUACGUGCCAGCAGCCGCGGUAAUACGUAGGGUGCGAGCGUUAAUCGGAAUUACUGGGCGUAAAGCGUGCGCAGGCUGUUUUGUAAGUCAGAUGUGAAAUCCCCGAGCUCAACUUGGGAACUGCGUUUAAACUACAAGACUAGAAUAUGUCAGGGGGGGGUAGAAUUCCACGUGAGCAGUAAAUGCGAAGUGUGAGAAUUCAAUGGCAAGGCAGCCCCCUGGGAAAAUGCGCUAUCCAGAUUC